rnacentral:rRNA from 1 species
AGGGGAAUAUUGGACAAUGGGCGCAAGCCUGAUCCAGCCAUGCCGCGUGAGUGAUGAAGGCCCUAGGGCUGUAAAGCUCUUUCACCGGUGAAGACAAUGACGGUAACCGGAGAAGAAGCCCCGGCUAACUUCGUGCCAGCAGCCGCGGUAAUACGAAGGGGGCUAGCGCUGUUCGGAUUUACUGGGCGUAAAGCGCACGUAGGCGGACUUAUAAGUCAGGGGUCAAAUCCCGGGGCUAAACCCCGGAACUGCCUUUGAUACUGAAAGUCUUGAGUGUGGUAGAGGUGAGGGGAAUUCCGGGUGUAGAGGUGAAAUUCGUAGAUAUUCGUAGGAACACCAAUGGCGAAGGCGACUCACUGGUCCAUUACUAACGCUGAAGUGCGAGAGCGUGGGGAGCAAGCAGG